UACGUAGGGUGCAAGCGUUGUCCGGAAUUAUUGGGCGUAAAGAGCUUGUAGGCGGUUUGUCGCGUCUGCUGUGAAAUUUCGGGGCUCAACCCCGAACUUGCAGUGGGUACGGGCAGACUAGAGUGUGGUAGGGGAGACUGGAAUUCCUGGUGUAGCGGUGAAAUGCGCAGAUAUCGGGAGGAACACCAGUGGCGAAGGCGGCACUCUGGGCCGGUACUGACGCUGAGGAGCGAAAGCGUGGGGAGCGAACAGG
rnacentral:rRNA from 1 species